ensembl:lncRNA
AUGGAUCCUUUGUAUAUAAUUUUUCAGGGAAAUCAGCCUCAUGCUGUUCUUGUGCCACCUCAUGACCAGAAGCUUCCAGUUGAGAUGUCCAAUAUUUGUCAGAUGUUACAGCCGGUGCAGGUUGUGUGUGAUGUGACCGGUGGAGGGCAGGUCGUCGUGCUGAACCAUUGCAGUCCCGAUCAGAUUCCUCACUCUCUGAUGAUGGAUCUCAACACAGUGUCUCUGCCAAAGCCAUCUGAGCAGAGCUGCUCCACUGAGGACCACUCACCUACUGGAAAAGCAUCAGAUGCCAGACAUUCGGAGAAGACCGCGUCCACUGGACUACCUCAGACCCACAAGACAUCUGCAGGUGUCACAUUCAACCUCGCGCCAGGACCUUAUGCUUCACAGCUUCAUCAGGCGCUUUGCCCUACUCAGACUGUAGAACUGGAAGAGGAAGGGCAGACCAAAGGACGUAGACGGUACGAGUAUCAUUACUAUAAAACCUCAUGCUUCUCAUGUUCAUUCUUGACAACUGACCUGUACUUUUUGUAA